rnacentral:rRNA from 1 species
UACAGAGGUCCCAAGCGUUGUUCGGAUUCAUUGGGCGUAAAGGGUGCGUAGGUGGCGCUGUAAGUCGGGUGUGAAAUUUCGGAGCUUAACUCCGAAACUGCAUUCGAUACUGCGGUGCUUGAGGACUGGAGAGGAGACUGGAAUUCGAUGGUGUAGCAGUGAAAUGCGUAGAUAUCUGGAGGAACACCGGUGGCGAAGGCGGCAUCCUGGACCGAUACUGACGCUGAGGAGCGAAAGCCAGGG